GGCUUGGUGGUGUAAUGGUAACGUGCUCCGUGUACCUAUAUGACAUUUGCAUAUCGUUCAACGGAAAGUCCAGAGUUCGAUUCUCCGUCAAGCCA